rnacentral:rRNA from 1 species
AUGGGGAAGACGGAGCUUGCUCGCCGGGCGUUUCAAGACGCCAAAGGCAAGUUUGACCGCCGCAUAUGGGUGCACGCCUAUGGCAAGAACACCGAAUCCGACCUCCUGAAAGAGAUCUGGAAGUCUGUUGCCGGUCACAAACCGGUCGGCGAGAUGAAUGUCGCAUGCUUCCAUAGGGAACUCGAGAAGCUCCUGGGAUCGGAAUCCUCAGAUAGGUGCUUGACGUUGUAUGGAAUCAUGAGUCGGCGACCCACGAGGCGGAGAGGAAGCAGGCAUCGCUGGCAUUGGACUCGUUUAAGCGCUGCGCCCAGGAUGGAAGCAGAAUCGUGA